GAUGAACGCUGGCGGCGUGCCUAAUACAUGCAAGUCGAGCGAACAGACGAGGAGCUUGCUCCUCUGACGUUAGCGGCGGACGGGUGAGUAACACGUGGAUAACCUACCUAUAAGACUGGGAUAACUUCGGGAAACCGGAGCUAAUACCGGAUAAUAUAUUGAACCGCAUGGUUCAAUAGUGAAAGACGGUCUUGCUGUCACUUAUAGAUGGAUCCGCGCCGCAUUAGCUAGUUGGUAAGGUAACGGCUUACCAAGGCAACGAUGCAUAGCCGACCUGAGAGGGUGAUCGGCCACACUGGAACUGAGACACGGUCCAGACUCCUACGGGAGGCAGCAGUAGGGAAUCUUCCGCAAUGGGCGAAAGCUUGACGGAGCAACGCCGCGUGAGUGAUGAAGGUCUUCGGAUCGUAAAACUCUGUUAUUAGGGAAGAACAAAUGUGUAAGUAACUAUGCACGUCUUGACGGUACCUAAUCAGAAAGCCACGGCUAACUACGUG
rnacentral:rRNA from 1 species